GCAGGGAAUGGGAGGGAAGGGGGCCUGAGAGCGGCGAAGAGGAGGAGGAGGGGACGUGGUAGUGCGGGGUGUGUGUGUGUGAGGAUUCCCUGGGGUUCGAGGAGGAGCGGACGUUCGGUGGCUGGAAAUCCACAAACCACCUGCGGCCGUGCGGUCGACCUGAACUCUAAGCCUUGCUCUGCGAUGCUUCCUGCCAAUAAGUAUGGAUACGAGUGCUAAUAUUUAUUGUAAAUGCAAAAACCCUCACUUCGAACUCUACUUCCGCGACUGCAUUUGCACCUGAGAACAUGAAGCCCGCUCGUGAAAGUGCACGCCUCAGUUCAUGCACAAAUGUAUCACACAUUGGGCAACUUAGUUCCAUUCAGGGUUGUGUGGGGAGCCCUGGUAGAAGGGGGCAGUAUGUCGGGCCGCCUACCCUGAAUGCAGCAGCAGACAUCCGCCCGGAACAACUUAUAGCCGGCCCGCCAUGUAAACGGACAGCCGAGCGCGCCGGGGAAGCCAACAAUCUGUCUUACGGAGUGACAGCCGGCCGGUGGGUGCACAUGCGCAGACGCCAGGGACUGUUGGAGAUCAACGGGGCAUGCGCGGCUGGAGGAGACCGCGGACGCAUUACCAGACAUUGUUAGGAACUACUGAAGAGUCGCGAAUCGUCGGGAAACGGCUGGGGCGUCGGGAAGCGGCCGGGGCGUCGGGAAACGUUUAGGUCAGGAUGACGAAGCAACAUUUGGGACGUUGGGUGUAUGGGCGGUGAUAGGGGGUGUGGUUUAGGCGCGGUUUCAGUAAUUGUAUAAAAAGGGAAUGGGUGUAUACAUCGUCAGUGCUGACUUUAUUCCGUUUGUUCGUGCAUAAUAAACUGGGUGUUCUCCGUU